rnacentral:tRNA from 1 species
AUGGAAAUCUCUGUAAUCUUUAGGUAGU